AACGAACGCUGGCGGCAGGCUUAACACAUGCAAGUCGAACGCCCCGCAAGGGGAGUGACAGACGGGUGAGUAACGCGUGGGAAUCUACCUAGUUCUACGGAACAACUGAGGGAAACUUCAGCUAAUACCGUAUACGCCCUAAGGGGGAAAGAUUUAUCGGGAUUAGAUGAGCCCGCGUUGGAUUAGCUAGUUGGUGGGGUAAUGGCCUACCAAGGCGACGAUCUAUAGCUGGUCUGAGAGGAUGAUCAGCCACACUGGGACUGAGACACGGCCCAGACUCCUACGGGAGGCAGCAGUGGGGAAUAUUGGACAAUGGGCGCAAGCCUGAUCCGGCCAUGCCGCGUGAGUGAUGAAGGCCUUAGGGUUGUAAAGCUCUUUCAGUGGGGACGAUAAUGACGGUACCCACAGAAGAAGCCCCGGCUAACUUCGUGCCAGCAGCCGCCGUAAGAC
rnacentral:rRNA from 1 species